AUUGAACGCUGGCGGCAUGCUUUACACAUGCAAGUCGAACGGUAACAGGGUGCUUGCACCGCUGACGAGUGGCGAACGGGUGAGUAAUGCGUCGGAACGUGCCGAGUCGUGGGGGAUAACGCAUCGAAAGGUGUGCUAAUACCGCAUACGUACUGAGGUAGAAAGUGGGGGACCUUCGGGCCUGACGCUAUUCGAGCGGCCGACGUCUGAUUAGCUAGUUGGUGAGGUAAAGGCUCACCAAGGCGACGAUCAGUAGCGGGUCUGAGAGGAUGAUCCGCCACACUGGAACUGAGAAACGGCCCAGACUCCUACGGGAGGCAGCAGUGGGGAAUUUUGGACAAUGGGCGCAAGCCUGAUCCAGCCAUGCCGCGUGUCUGAAGAAGGCCUUAGGAUUGUAAAGGACUUUUGUCCGGGAGGAAAUGCCCAGUGCUAAUAACUCUGGGGGCUGAGGGUACCGAAAGAAUAAGCACCGGCUAACUACGUGCCAGCCGCCGCAGUAAAAC
rnacentral:rRNA from 1 species